UCUGUUUGGUGUACUGCGUAAAUUACUUUAUCCAUCAAAAUCUUGUUUCUCGGUAAGUUAUGAUGGUUCAUUCGCAUAAAACGAUCGUUUCCUUCGAGUAUCGCUUUGAAACUUCUGGAAUUGCACGAGUCAUAAUUCACUCUGUUUAUAAAACAUAUAAUUUUUUUUAAAGAGACAUAUACUACAAUAUGUAUUAUAUAUGUUACUG
rnacentral:lncRNA from 1 species